AUUGAACGCUGGCGGCAGGCCUAACACAUGCAAGUCGAGCGGGGUUUUCGGACCUAGCGGCGGACGGGUGAGUAAUGCGUAGGAAGCUACCCGAUAGAGGGGGAUACCAGUUGGAAACGACUGUUAAUACCGCAUAAUGUCUACGGACCAAAGUGUGGGACCUUCGGGCCACAUGCUAUCGGAUGCGCCUACGUGGGAUUAGCUAGUUGGUGAGGUAAUGGCUCUCCAAGGCGACGAUCUCUAGCUGGUUUGAGAGGAUGAUCAGCCACACUGGAACUGAGACACGGUCCAGACGCCUACGGGAGGCAGCAGUGUGGAAUAUUGGACAAUGGGCGAAAGCCUGAUCCAGCCAUGCCGCGUGUGUGAAGAAGGCCUUCGGGUUGUAAAGCACUUUCAGUAGGGAGGAAGCGUUGUGUGUUAAUAGUACACAGCGUUGACGUUACCUACAGAAGAAGCACCGGCUAACUCUGUGCCAGCCGCCGCAGUAACAC
rnacentral:rRNA from 1 species